rnacentral:rRNA from 1 species
CCUACGGGUGGCUGCAGUGGGGAAUAUUGGGCAAUGGGCGCAAGCCUGACCCAGCAACGCCGCGUGAAGGAAGAAGGCUUUCGGGUUGUAAACUUCUUUUAUCAGGGACGAAGAAAGUGACGGUACCUGAAAAAGAAGCUCCGGCUAAAUACGUGCCAGCAGCCGCGGUAAUACGUAUGGAGCAAGCGUUAUCCGGAUUUACUGGGUGUAAAGGGAGAGUAGGUGGCAGAGCAAGUCCGAAGUGAAAACCCAAAGCUCAACUAUGGGAAUGCUUUAGAAACUGCUCAGCUAGAGUGCAGGAGAGGCAAGUGGAAUGCUUAGUGUAGCGGUGAAAUGCGUAGAUAUUAGGAGGAACACCAGUGGCGAAGGCGGCUUGCUGGACUGUAACUGACACUGAGGCUCGAAAGCGUGGGGAGCAAACAGGAUUAGAUACCCCAGUAGUC